rnacentral:rRNA from 1 species
AGCGAACGCUGGCGGCAGGCUUAACACAUGCAAGUCGAGCGCCCCGCCAGGGGAGCGGCAGACGGGAGCGUAACACGUGGGAACAUACCUUUUGGUUCGGAACAACUGAGGGAAACUUCAGCUAAUACCGGAUAAGCCCUUACGGGGAAAGAUUUAUCGCCGAAAGAUUGGCCCGCGUCUGAUUAGCUAGUUGGUGAGGUAACGGCUCACCAAGGCGACGAUCAGUAGCUGGUCUGAGAGGAUGAUCAGCCUCACUGGGACUGAGACACGGCCCAGACUCCUACGGGAGGCAGCAGUGGGGAAUAUUGGACAAUGGGGGCAACCCUGAUCCAGCCAUGCCGCGUGAGUGAUGAAGGCCUUAGGGUUGUAAAGCUCUUUUGCCCGGGAAGAUAAUGACGGUACCGGGAGAAUAAGCCCCGGCUAACUUCGUG